rnacentral:rRNA from 1 species
UACGAAGGGGGCUAGCGUUGCUCGGAAUCACUGGGCGUAAAGGGUGCGUAGGCGGGUCUUUUAAGUCAGGGGUGAAAUCCUGGAGCUCAACUCCAGAACUGCCUUUGAUACUGAGGAUCUUGAGUUCGGGAGAGGUGAGUGGAACUGCGAGUGUAGAGGUGAAAUUCGUAGAUAUUCGCAAGAACACCAGUGGCGAAGGCGGCUCACUGGCCCGAUACUGACGCUGAGGCACGGAAAGCGUGGGGAGCCAAACAGGG